GGGCCUGUAGCUCAGCUGGUUAGAGCGCCUGCGACGUCACACUGCCGAGGAUGGUUCAAGUCCAUCCAGGCCCA
rnacentral:tRNA from 1 species